CCUGGAUCCAGGUCCAGUCAGAUGAGCCCCAGCAGAAAGGAUCAGAUGUGAUGGACACGGGCAGGCAGAGUGUGAGCUCCUCUAGAGUCCAAACAGAGUCUUCCAGUCCCAGGAUCAGCUUGAAUCAUGUGUCCCCCAUCAGAGCACUGGAGUGUGGGCUGCAACCAUCCACUCACCUCAAAACAGCUCAUGGUGCCGUCACACCUGCUGGUGGCAAGACACACAAACUCCCAAACUGCACCAACGUCUGAUUGCUUGAAGUACCCCAGCCCAACCUCCAUCCCCUCACCAUGGUAACGGCCUGAAGCACCCCAGCCCAACCCCCAUCCCCUCACCAUGGUAGUACGACCUGAAGCACCCAAAGCCCAACCCCCAUCCCCUCACCAUAGUAGUACGACCCAACCCCUAUCCCCUCACUAUAGUAGUACGACCCAACCCCCAUCCCCUCACCAUAGUAGUACGGCCCAACCUCCAUCCCCUCACCAUAGUAGUACGACCUGAAGCACCCCAACCCAGCCCAACCCCCAUCCCCUCACCAUAGACGUACGGCCUGUAAUUACUGAGCGAUUCAACCUGGCCAGACAUUCUCCAGAGCGGGACAACAUAUGUUGUUAUAUAACAUAACAUAUAUUACAUAGCUUACCAAAGCCCUAGUGAUUGGAUACAUUUCUGAGUCGUGAAGACAUAUCAUCAUGACAUUUAAGGGCAGAUUUAGGAAAGUUUUGCACAAACUCAGUUUUACUGGUAAAAAGUGACUGUCAGUACGUUAGCUCCAGUAAUAAGACGAAGGGGGGUGGGGGGGUGACUAAUAUUUUGCUCUUUCGCCUCGUAGUGUUAUAGGGUUAGGGUACAUUUAUAGGUUAGGGUUAGAGUACAUUUAUAGGUGUAUCCCUCUAAAAGCGUGAAAUUCUAGGUGGAGAUUCAAUUCAAUUCAAUUUUAUUUAUAUAGCGCCAAAACAAUACAAUUUCAAGAUGCUUUAAUUGUCUCAAGGCGCUUUGAUUUUGGGUGGUUUAACAACUAAAUGAUAUUUAUCCAACCUGAUAGUAGAUCUCGUUAUGUUGCAAUUUAAUUAAAUCAUGGACUUGUUAUGGCUGCAUGUUCUAUUACUGGUAGAAGACAGUGGUUUGACUGAUCCAAUAAAAAUAAAUAACUUAUUGCCCAUCAAACAAUGUCAUUCUAAAAGCAUCAAAGAGUGUGAAUCCCACAUCAUCAAGUUAAGUUAUUUCCAACACUUUUGCAAUUUCUUUUCUGCAAGGUGUGGUUUCCUCUUCAGGAACACUACAACUGUAAUUCUCUAACGGACAGUCCACAGUUCUUUGUGUUUCCAAAUGGUACUUGGUUAGUGCAGGAUUGCUAACCUGAUCUCCUGCACAAAAACAGUUUCAAAUAGCACCAGGCUUGUUCAAGUUAAUGAAGUUAAUUGAGUUAAUCUGCAUGAGGUUUGUUGGUAAAUAUGUUACACAAUAAGCCACCCCCAACACAUGCAUUUGUCAUAAAUUUGUCAAAAUUUGCCUGAGUUUUGCAUCUUAUUUUUGUCUAUUAUGUGCAUGUAUGAACUUUACUGUGCUAUCACUAAGACUGUCUGGCCAAGGAGGCAGAUGUAGUCUUUUUUUUUUACUCCAAGAUCUAUGUUUAGAUAAUGCUACUAGUCCUUCUAUAGAUAAUGCCAAUAUUCUAUGUAGAUAAUGUAACUGUAGUCUCCAUGUCUUUGUGUGGCAAAUGCAAUUAUAGUCUCUCUUUAGACAGGGUAAACAUAUUCUCUUUAAAAGAUACAGGAAUUGCGUGCUCUACUUUUUGCUGUCUGUAUUUUGAUAAUAAAGGCGCACUCUCCAGCGACUUCAGUGUGAA